rfam:Triticum aestivum genome assembly, contig: Triticum_aestivum_CS42_TGACv1_scaffold_603313_7DL
CAUGUACUCCCUCCGUCUAGAAAUACUUGUCAGAGAAAUGUAUGUAUCUAGACAUAUUUUAGUUCUAGAUACAUUCAUUUUUAUCCAUUUCUUUGACAAGUAUUUUCAGACGGAGGAAGUAUGUA